AACGAACGCUGGCGGCAGGCCUAACACAUGCAAGUCGAACGGGAUCUUCGGAUCUAGUGGCGGACGGGUGAGUAACGCGUGGGAACGUGCCCUUUGGUUCGGAAUAGCCCCGGGAAACUGGGAGUAAUACCGGAUAAGCUCUACGGAGGAAAGAUUUAUCGCCAAAGGAUCGGCCCGCGUUGGAUUAGGUAGUUGGUGAGGUAAUGGCUCACCAAGCCGACGAUCCAUAGCUGGUUUGAGAGGAUGAUCAGCCACACUGGGACUGAGAUACGGCCCAGACUCCUACGGGAGGCAGCAGUGGGGAAUCUUAGACAAUGGGGGAAGCCCUGAUCUAGCCAUGCCGCGUGAUCGAUGAAGGCCUUAGGGUUGUAAAGUUCUUUCAGUGGGGAAGAUAAUGACUGUACCCACAGAAGAAGCCCCGGCUAACUCCGUGCCAGCAGCCGCGGUAACAC
rnacentral:rRNA from 1 species